rnacentral:rRNA from 1 species
CGGAGGGUGCAAGCGUUAAUCGGAAUUACUGGGCGUAAAGCGCGCGUAGGCGGUUGAGUCAGUCUGAUGUGAAAGCCCCGGGCUUAACCUGGGAACGGCAUUGGAUACUGCUCGACUGGAGUGUGGUAGAGGGUAGUGGAAUUCCCGGUGUAGCAGUGAAAUGCGUAGAUAUCGGGAGGAACACCAGUGGCGAAGGCGGCUACCUGGACCAACACUGACGCUGAGGUGCGAAAGCGUGGGGAGCAAACAGGA